GUCUCAAACUCCUUGUGCACUGUCAGUAUAUAGGCUAAUGGAAAGGCAGCCUCUUCUUCUGAGAGAGUUACAGUUAUAUCUAUUUCUGUACUCACCCAAAGGAAUGCUUUCUCCUGGGGAAAAAUCACAGUCUCCUCCUGUAUUACAGUUUGUUCGGAAUAAUGAUAUUACAAAGCAAAUCAAAGAAGACUUCCCAACACAGACAUGGAGAAAAUGAAUCCAUUUUGCUGAUAUUUAGGUGUCUUCAUGGAUCUUGUGAUAGAGAUUUUAUAUAUCCUUUAACUUGUUUCAAGUGUUGAGCAAAUAAAAUGAGAAAUAUUU